UAAAUUAUGCAGUAUGGUAAGAAGGAUCCGCUCUGCCAUGCCUUCCGCGGUACCGCAAAAUGGUUUUACAGUAGCCAUUAAACAAAAUUUGCGGUACCACGAUUUACAGGAUCUGCCAGAGAUGCACGUGUACCCCAUGACAAAAACAAGUAUACAUCAAGGGCGCAAAAUAAGCAAGGGGUGCUACCUGUUUGUUUUGGCUUUUGCUUUUGCUUUUGCAGCUUUUCCACUUUGCCAAAAAAAGCCAUAGAAGCUCUUAAAUAGGUGCUUUUGGAGCUUAUUUGGCUCAAGAAGCUCUUAAAUAGGUGCUUUUGGAGCUUAUUUGGCUUGAGCCAAAUAAGCUCCAAAAGCACCUAUUUAGGAGCUUCUAUGGCCAAAAUGGAAAAGCUACAAAAGCAGAAGCAAAAGCCCAAACAAACAAGGCCUAUAUUCUCCUGCAAAAUGAUGGUUGCACUGCAAGAUCAAAAAAAAUCAACCGUAUACAGGAAAAAUAAUACAAUACAGCAUACAAACAGCACUACAGCCAAUCUUCGAGUACCGGCAAGGCAUACAGAUCUGCACCCUGAAAAUUGCACAUUGUAUGCUCUGGCCUGUAUAGCAAGCCACGUCUUUGAUCCUAAACCCAUGGUGAUGCUGUAAGCUGGUAGACAUAU
rnacentral:lncRNA from 1 species